AUUGAACGCUGGCGGCAGGACUAACACAUGCAAGUCGAACGAGUGGCGGACGGGUGAGUAAUGUCUGGGAAACUGCCUGAUGGAGGGGGAUAACUACUGGAAACGGUAGCUAAUACCGCAUACCAUCAGAUGUGCCCAGAUGGGAUUAGCGUGUUGGGGGGGGAACGGCUCACCACGGCGCCGAUCCCUAGCUGGUCUGAGAGGAUGACCAGCCACACUGUAACGGCGACACGGUCCAGACGCCGACGGGAGGCAGCAGUGGAGAAUAUUGCACAAUGUGCGCAAGCCUGAUGCAUCCAUGCAGCGUGUAUGAAGAAGGCCUUCGGGUUGUAAAGUACUUUCAGCGGGGAGGCGUUACCCGCAGAAGAAGCACCGGCUAACUCCGUGCCAGCCGCCGCGGUAAUAC
rnacentral:rRNA from 1 species